rnacentral:rRNA from 1 species
CAGGGAAUCUUGCACAAUGGGCGAAAGCCUGAUGCAGCGACGCCGCGUGGGGGAUGAAGGCCUUAGGGUCGUAAACCCCUUUCAGCAGGGACGAAAAUGACGGUACCUGCAGAAGAAGCCCCGGCCAACUACGUGCCAGCAGCCGCGGUAAGACGUAGGGGGCGAGCGUUGUCCGGAUUUAUUGGGCGUAAAGAGCUCGUAGGCGGUUGCGUAAGUCGGAUGUGAAAACUCAGGGCUCAACCCUGAGACGCCAUCCGAUACUGCGCUGACUUGAAUCCAGUAGGGGAGUGUGGAAUUCCUGGUGUAGCGGUGAAAUGCGCAGAUAUCAGGAGGAACACCCAUGGCGAAGGCAGCACUCUGGGCUGGUAUUGACGCUGAGGAGCGAAAGCAUGGGUAGCGAACAGGAUUAGAUACCCCUGUAGUCCCUGAGCGGGCUGGCAAGGCGCAU